rnacentral:rRNA from 1 species
CAGCACCUCAAGUGGUCAGGAUGAUUAUUGGGCCUAAAGCAUCCGUAGCCGGCGCUGUAAGUUUUCGGUUAAAUCUGUACGCUCAACGUACAGGCUGCCGGGAAUACUGCAGCGCUAGGGAGUGGGAGAGGUAGACGGUACUCGGUAGGAAGGGGUAAAAUCCUUUGAUCUAUUGAUGACCACCUAUGGCGAAGGCGGUCUACCAGAACACGUCCGACGGUGAGGGAUGAAAGCUGGGGGAGCAAACCGGAUUAGAUACCCGUGUAGUCC